rnacentral:rRNA from 1 species
UACGUAGGCAGCGAGCGUUGUUCGGAGUUACUGGGCGUAAAGGGUGUGUAGGCGGUUGUUUAAGUUUGGUGUGAAAUCUCCCGGCUCAACUGGGAGGGUGCGCCGAAUACUGAAUGACUUGGAGUGCGGGAGAGGAAAGUGGAAUUCCUGGUGUAGCGGUGAAAUGCGUAGAUAUCAGGAGGAACACCGGUGGUGUAGACGGCUUUCUGGACCGUAACUGACGCUGAGGCACGAAAGCGUGGGUAGCAAACAGG